GACAACAGAGACUAUGAUGAAGAUGAAGAUGAAGAUGAUGAGAUGAUAAGCCAGGAGACAGUCACUGAAGAUGCCCUCUCAGUCUCAUCAGGGCAGUCAAUGAAGGGGGACAUACCUAUUAACUCAGAAACCACAUCGUGUCUGAACAUCAGGUCUAUCAUCCACUGGUUCAGAAAGCGGGUGGUCUCCUCCCUACCUGGGAGAAGGCGCCCUGACACAGCCUAUAAGGACCCCAGUCUGCUAUAAUCGAAGAAAAAAUGUUUUCGUAGAGGCAAGAGAAUCCAACCUCAGUAGCCCCUCAAAGUUAGGAAACCUUACAUACUCAUAGCAUUUAAAAUUUGUUGAAAACCCCUAUUCAAUAGUCCCCAUAGUUUUAAGUUUUUUAAAAAUUAAAAAAUAUUGUUGUUA